rnacentral:rRNA from 1 species
UACGUAGGGUGCAAGCGUUGUCCGGAAUUAUUGGGCGUAAAGAGCUCGUAGGCGGUUCGUCGCGUCGGCUGUGAAAACCCGGAGCUCAACUCCGGGCCUGCAGUCGAUACGGGCGGACUUGAGUGUUGCAGGGAGACUGGAAUUCCUGGUGUAGCGGUGAAAAUGCGCAGAUAUCAGGAGGAACACCGGUGGCGAAGGCGGGUCUCUGGGCAACUACUGACGCUGAGGAGCGAAAGCCGUGGGGAGCGAACAGG